rnacentral:lncRNA from 1 species
GUGAUAGGAGACCCAGGAAAACUGGGUUGGAUUCUUGAGCCAACGGAUUUUACCGGUAAUUUUACUGUCGUGUCUACGGGCGGGUGGGUUACCGGGUUUUCCCCGGAAUUGGUGGUGGACUCGGGUUACUCUCGGAGUACUCCGUUUGUCCAGUGGGUGUCCCGAGUGUGCUCGGGAUUGAGUUUGUCGGCCGUUAAAAAAAAACAUUAAGAAAUAUAGAAAAAGAAAAAAAAAAAACAAGGAAAAAAUAAAAGAAAAAUAUUUGAUCAAUUUUGACCAACAUGUAUAUGAGGCAAUAUCUCAAGACCCUGAGUUGCUUCUUCAAUCGCCUCCUUGGAGUACACAAGUUUAAGAAAACCAUCAUGCAUUAAUUAUUAAUUAUUAUUAAAAAAAAGUAAGAAUACUCUAAACGUAAAAUCCACGAAUAAUCUAAUAUUUUUACAAUGCAGCUAUGACAAGUUGUAUUCAUUUGGAUAAUUAUCUUUACAUUUUUAUUUAUUUUUGCAUGUUUCACACGUUGAAUACUAGGAGUUAUAUUAUUUUGAUUGUUAUUGGAAUCAACAAGUUGUAUUCAUCUGGAUAAUUAUCUUUACAUUUUUAUUUAUUUUUGUUUGUUUCACACAUUGAAUACUAAGAGUUGUAUUAUUUUGAUUGUUAUUAGAGCUAGGUCUGUAAAUGAAUCGAACGUUCACGAACUGUUCCUGAACUUGUUCGGCGGGAAGUUCAUUUAUGUUCGUUUAUUAAUAAACGAACGAACACGAACAAAAAUUUGUGUUCGUUUAAUUAAAUGAACGAACAUGAACACACCUUGUGUUCGUUCGUUUAUGUUCGUUUAUUUACGUUCGUUUAUGUUCGCUUAAAUUUUAGUAAAUACAUAAAUAGUUAUAUUUAUAUAAAUAUUAGGUUUUCUAACUAAUUAUAUAAAUAUAACUAACUAGUAAUUGAGUUUUCUAGUAAUAAAAAAUGAAAUUUUAAAAUUUUUCUUAUAGCGUAACUGAUCACUUAAUAUUUAUAUAAAAACUACGUAAUUUCAGUAUCUUUGAACCCUAAUUUAAAUGUGUUUUCGGAUGAACUGUAAUAUAUUAGACUUGUUUGUGUUAACUAAUGUUAAAUUAUGUUUGUUUAUAUUUGUUCAAUUUAGUUCAUUUAUGUCCGUCUAUGUUUGUUCAAUCGUGUUAAUUUAUGUUUAUUCAAAUAUGUUCGGUUAACUUUUUUGUUUAUGUUCGUAUAUGUUCGUUUAUAUUUGUGAACUGUUCAUUUCGGCUUUAAACGAACGAACAUAAACGAACACGAACAUGCCUGAUUUCUUAAUGAACGAACAUGAACAAAAAAAAUGUGUUCGAUUAUAUGUUCAUGUUCGUGUUCGGUUAAAGUUAAAUGAACGAAUACAAACAUGCCUAUGUUCGUGUUCAAUCGGUUCAUUUAUAGGCCUAAUUAGAGCAUAGUGUAGAUGAUUAUUAGUUUUGAAAAUAUAGUAGAACUUGAUAUAUUGUAACCAUUUACAAUCUGAUUAUCUAUGUAUUAUGAUUCAUUUAAUAUUUGUAAUAACGACGUCCAUUAGCGCAAUAUAGCUAAACCCAGUUAAAACGUUAAUUUUUAUAAUAAAAAAUAACAAGAAAAUACUUCUUGUUAUGAAUGUAGACAUUCAGGCCCAUAGGCCAAGCCUGACCUAAUGUUAAUGGGCUUUAGGGUUGUUGUUGUAUUGAUCUAUAUAUAUGAUAUAUGUACAUGAAAUACUGCAGAAUAAAAUCUCUUUCUUAUGUUUGCUCUCUUGUUUAUAACAUGUUAUCAACACGAUUGCUCUCUUACAUCAGUUUUUUUUAUCUCAUUCUUUUUCACAAAAUUAUCAUGGGAGAUCCUUGACAAUCUUUCGAAGAUCCUUUUUGGUUAUUGCUAGCAUUGUGAAAAAUCAAGCGAGGACCGUAGAUAAAAACCGAAGGAGAGUUACUAGGAUAGGUGAUGGUUGUAAUGGCUACGUUGCAGUCACAACUCACAAUCUCCAAAAACUAUGGCAUUUGCCCACUGUGAUAGACACCGAAUUCUUCCGUUUUUCCUUUUUAGUCGACAACCAGGAUAGUUCCACAAGAACAAUAUGGCGCCCUGGGUUAUGAUUGAUAUAUAUUACUCGCAUAGAGUUCGAUCUCAAUCCAGAUACAAGUUAUAAAGGUCGAAGAUUUCGGCAUAUUUAAGAAGUAUGUAGAUUAGAGUUGAUCAAGAGAAGCUCAAGCUAUACUGUAUGAAGACAAUGUAGACAACAACACUCAAAUCAAAGAAGACUACGGCAAAUAUCAAGUCAAGCAAUUGUCACAGAAGAUUGGAUUCAACAUCAUCAAGAUUUACAAGUAACUUUGAGGGGGAGUAAUGUACCCAUAAUAUACACAGUGUAUGUACUCUUUUUCCUUGACUAAGUUUUGUCCCACUAGGUUUUUCUUAGUAAGGUUUUAAUGAGGCACAUAACUGGUCCUGCAGUAUCAGUUAACAUCGGUCCUGAAGAAUCGUGUAAACAUUAUCUAGUAGUAUAAUGUUAACAGUAUAUGUGUAUUUCUAAAUGUCUGAGGGUGAGUGUUAUGAAUGCAGACAUUCAGGCCCAUAGGCCAAGCCUGACCUAAUGUUAAUGGGCUUUAGGGUUGUUGUUGUAUUGAUCUAUAUAUAUGAUAUAUGUACAUGAAAUACUGCAGAAU